CAAUCAGAUCUGGAUGUGGGGAGUGUGGAACCCAGAUGUUCAGAGGGAGAUGAUGCCACAUCUGGUCCAGCUGAUGGAAGGUCUUGAAGUUCUCUGACUGGCCUCGACUGAAGAUGGUCGUCUCACUGGAUUUAAGGUUCAGAUGCUCCGUAACAAACUCCACCAAUGAGCCAACAGGGAAGCUUUAGGUUUAUUAAAUGUUGCUAUGAAGGUUUCACUGUUUUUCUUUGUGAAUGCAAUGUGCUCCAACUGAAACUUGAAUUAGAACUUAGAAGUAAAUCCUUCCAUUUGAAAGGAUUUAGUUGCAUUAAUAACCUGAUAACAUUCAAAUUUUUAUUCCAGUCUUGGUUGGAAAUAGAAUCUCUGUAUUGAUUCAGGUAAAAACUGAACUUCACAGCAUGUUGAAGCAAAACAACCAGAUGAAAACUGUGAUGGCGUUGGAUUGUCAGACCGUAAUGUUGCAGCUCAAAGCAGC
ensembl:lncRNA